rnacentral:rRNA from 1 species
UACGUAGGGUGCAAGCGUUGUCCGGAAUUAUUGGGCGUAAAGAGCUCGUAGGCGGUUCGUCACGUCGGCUGUGAAAUCCCGAGGCUCAACCUCGGGUCUGCAGUCGAUACGGGCGGACUGGAGUACUGCAGGGGAGACUGGAAUUCCUGGUGUAGCGGUGAAAUGCGCAGAUAUCAGGAGGAACACCGGUGGCGAAGGCGGGUCUCUGGGCAGUAACUGACGCUGAGGAGCGAAAGCGUGGGGAGCGAACGGG